GCCUGGAUGGCUUAGUCAGUUGAGCAUCUGACUUAAGCUCAGGUCAUGAUCUCACGGUUCGUGGGUUGGAGCCCUGCAUCGGGCU
rnacentral:tRNA from 1 species